GAUGAAGAACGUAGCGAAAUGCGAUAAGUAAUGUGAAUUGCAGAAUUCAGUGAAUCAUCGAAUCUUUGAACGCACAUUGCGCCCAUUGGUAUUCCAUGGGGCAUGCCUGUUCGAGCGUCAUUUGUACCUUCAAGCUUUGCUUGGUGUUGGGUGUUUGUCUCGCCUUUGCGUGUAGACUCGCCUUAAAAUAAUUGGCAGCCGGCGUAUUGAUUUCGGAGCGCAGUACAUCUCGCGCUUUGCACUCAUAACGACAGCGUCCAAAAGUACAUUUUACACUCUUGACCUCGGAUCAGGUAGGGAUACCCGCUGAACUUAAGCAUAUCAAUAAGCGGAGGA
rnacentral:misc_RNA from 1 species